rnacentral:sRNA from 1 species
GGAAGGAUCAUUACUGAAUUGUCAAACGGGCUGUUGCUGGUCCUCAAACGGGGACAGUGCACGCUCUGUUUACACAUCCACUCACACCUGUGCACCCUCUGUAGUUUUACGGUCUGGGGGACCCUGUCUUCCUUCCGUAGUUCUACGUCUUUACACACACACACUGUAAUAAAGUCUUAUGGAAUGUAUGCCGCGUCUAACGCAAUACAAUACAACUUUCAGCAACGGAUCUCUUGGCUCUCGCAUCGAUGAAGAACGCAGCGAAAUGCGAUAAGUAAUGUGAAUUGCAGAAUUCAGUGAAUCAUCGAAUCUUUGAACGCACCUUGCGCCCCUUGGACAUUCCGAGGGGCAUGCCUGUUUGAGUAUCAUGAACACCUCAACUCUCAUGGUUUGCCAUGACGAGCUUGGACCUUGGGGGUUUUGCUGGCCUGUGGUCGGCUCCUCUCAAAUGAAUCAGCCUCCCAGUGUUUGGUGGCAUCACGAGUGUGAUAACUAUCUACGCUCGCGGUUGUCCAUCAGGUAACCUUUGGUGACAAAGGUUCGCUGGAGCUCACAGACGUCUCUCCUCAGCGAGGACAGCUUUUUAACGUUCGAUCUCAAAUCAGGUAGGACUACCCGCUGAACUUAAGCAUAUCAAUAA